UACGUAGGGUGCAAGCGUUGUCCGGAAUUAUUGGGCGUAAAGAGCUCGUAGGCGGUCUGUCGCGUCGAUCGUGAAAACUUGGGGCUUAACCCUGAGCUUGCGGUCGAUACGGGCAUGACUGGAGUUCGGCAGGGGAGACUGGAAUUCCUGGUGUAGCGGUGAAAUGCGCAGAUAUCAGGAGGAACACCAGUGGCGAAGGCGACUUCCUGGCCUGUUCUUGACGCUGAGGCGCGAAAGCUAGGGUAGCAAACGGG
rnacentral:rRNA from 1 species